ACCGGGCGCGGUGGUGCACGCCUGUGAUCCCGGCGGCUCGGGAGGCUGAGGCAGGAGGAUCGCGAGGCCAAAGCCAGCCUCCGCCAAAGGGAGGCCGUCAGCAACUCAGGGAGACCCUGUCUCUA
rnacentral:sRNA from 1 species